GGGUUAAGUGGCGUUAAUGCAUUGUAUCCCAUCAAAACUCUGCAGUUAAGCAUGCUUGGUCUAGAGUAGUACUGGGAUGGGUGACCUUCCGAGAAGUCCUAGUGUUGCACCCU
rnacentral:rRNA from 1 species